ACUCCUACGGGAGGCAGCAGUGGGGAAUAUUGCACAGGCNGCAGCAGCAUGCAGCCAUGCCGCGUGUGUGAAGAAGGCCUUCGGGUUGUAAAGCACUUUCAGUCGUGAGGAAGGUGGUAGUGUUAAUAGCACUAUCAUUUGACGUUAGCGACAGAAGAAGCACCGGCUAACUCCGUGCCAGCAGCCGCGGUAAUACGGAGGGUGCGAGCGUUAAUCGGAAUUACUGGGCGUAAAGCGCAUGCAGGUGGUUUGUUAAGUCAGAUGUGAAAGCCCGGGGCUCAACCUCGGAAUUGCAUUUGAAACUGGCAGACUAGAGUACUGUAGAGGGGGGUAGAAUUUCAGGUGUAGCGGUGAAAUGCGUAGAGAUCUGAAGGAAUACCGGUGGCGAAGGCGGCCCCCUGGACAGAUACUGACACUCAGAUGCGAAAGCGUGGGAGCAAACAGGAUUAGAUACCCUGGUAGGUGA
rnacentral:rRNA from 1 species